UCCCCUCCACCUCCGGCCCCGCCGAGAAAGGGACCCCCCCCCCCCCCCCGCCCCGGGUCGCCGGCCGUCGAGGGAGCGGAGGCGGAGGCGGAGGCGGAGGCGUGACGGCGCGAGGGAGGGUGAGGGUGCGCCGUGCCCGCAGUCUCCUGUGACAGGAACUACAGUAUCCCAUGGAUUCGCUUCAGAAGUCCCACGAUUUGUGCCUGAAGCGCAAGCUUGUUGAUGAUUGCCUGUCGAAAGACUUCAAGUAUCGCCGCGUCGAAGAGGAUAAUGUAUCUUCCAAUGUGGAGAGCAGGCCCUUACCCGGUUCACCUUCUCAGAGUUGCUGCAUUCAACCUAAUCUGGCUAAAGAUUGUGUUAAUUACCUGAAAAGCGGGUUGCCAAGUCGCAUUGCAUUUUACAAACAAGGUGCAUGGUGUGAUUUCCCUCAGAAAAUAAUGGAGUCCCUUGUUGAGGGAUUCAAAGCUGAUAAAUCUAGUGCUGUAGUUGUGAUGGAUGAUCAGCCUCUGCUUGUUGAUUUCUUGUCGAUGACCAUGGUGAACCUAAAAACAAGAAAGCAGAGAUCUGUUUCAUGGCUAGAUGGCACUGGCAAGUGGUUUUUUCCUUCUGCAUUCUUUGACGAGGGCGUUGAUGAAUCCAGAAAAUUAAACAUGGGUUCUGAAGGCAGCGGACAAGGUCUAACUGAGGGGAUGGUUCCAAAGGCUCCAAAUGAACUGGUGAAGCAAGCUGUCGUUGAAACUAGCUCUCCAGUUUUACAGAAUUCUUGUAUUCCUGACAUAUUACGCAAGAAGAUUGUGCCUGUUGAAAGAGGCAGUGAGAGCUUUCAGUUUGUUCAGAACCUUUUCCUCUCUGGCAUGGGUUCAUUUGCAUCACCUAAAAACUUACUUCAUAUUCAUCGGUACUCUGCAGAGGAUGUCACAGCACAAUGUAGACUUGAGUCUUUUGCAAGACAGAUGAGGUUGACGAGAAAGAAAAUUGGUUAUGCUGAUGUGAGAUAUGGAUGGCUUGGAUCUAGGAAGCAAGACAUAGUUGGAGUUUUGAUUAAUGGUUUUAUUAGCACUGGACAAACAAGUCACAGUUCUGAUAUGCGUACUGGUGUGUAUCUCUCGCCUGAAAACCGUGCAUUUACCAGUGUUGGUCUCUGUGAUGUUGAUGAAAAAGGAGUUCAGUACAUGUUGCUGUGCCGAGCAAUAUUGGGCAACAUGGGAACUAUAAAACCAGGAUCACAGGAUGAGUUUCUAAGCAUAUAUGAUUCUGGUGUUGACAAUUGCUCCAAUCCAAGCUAUUAUGUGAUUUGGCCAUCAAAGCUAGGCACUCAUAUUUCUCUGGAAUAUCUCAUUAGUUUUAGGCUCACACCAGAAAUUCAAGACUACUUGCUUCACUUGAAGGGUUUAUGGUUGUGCCCACCACCAAAAGAAGUGGAAGUGGAUCUUUCUACUCUUCAACCUGUAGUGUGCGAAUCUGAUAAUGGACCAACUUCUCCAUGGAUCCCAUUCAGAGUUCUCUUUGGAACAAUACAAGACAGUAUAUCAUCACUAGCAAGGGAACUGCUCUUUCAUCAUUAUCAAGAGCUGAAGGAAAACAAGAUUACUCGUGAGGAAAUGGUCAAGAAAAUUAUCAUAAUAGUUGGAGAGCAAUUGCUUUUGGAUUCCUUGACGAAACUUAACUACAAUCCGUCAGAAUGGUACAAGUCUUGUUCAGAAGUUAACUGUCAUCCUUUAAGUAUAAAACUGGAUCCUAUCUCCAACAGUAGAAUUAACAUAAACUCUGCAUCUGGAAGAGCUAGCAACGAUUCUCAAGCACCAAGUGUACAACCUCAGAAAUGUGGACCUGUGGAUUCUACAGUAGUAAGCAUGGCCCUCAAAAGAGAACAAUUCUCCAUCCCAAGUAUGUGUUCUGAAAGCUUUUCAUCCCAUUGCACAAAAAGUCAGGAUUCUGUUGUGAGGAUGAGACCCGAUGACACCCUUGUGAGGAGGGCAUUAAUCAGUGAUAGUGUUAAUGGCUGUGAUUCUGUUGGACCAACUGUUGAAUCGCAUUGCCAUUCUCUCCUUUCGCAGAAUUUUGACUCUGAAGGGCAUGCUUCUCAUGUAGUAUCAAUGUUUGGAAACUCUGGAGCAAGACUACAUUCUAGUGCACCAUGUAUGACAACUGAAGCCCAGGUGUUUGUUGCACCAAGUAGAGCAUAUGAGAACUCAUCAUCUCUGAAUGCUGAAGGCAGUGAUGCUGUGAUUUCAAGCAUAGCCCCUCAAGUCCACGCACCAAGUAUUCCCCCUCAAAAUUGUCCACGAACGAGUGUGGCACCUCACCUCUGUUUACCAAGAAGUAUGGCGCCCCACCUCCGUGUACUGAGAAAGAUUUCUAAGGUUCAUUCAACAAACAUGCCUGAAGCUCACUAUUCCAGUGCAGCAACUAUGGUUCCUGUCAUCUGUAAACCUCCAUUGUUUGGCAUUACCCAAAAAGGGCAUGGUGUUCAUACAUCAAGUAUGAUGUGUACAACACCAAAUGUAGUUCUCCAUGGUCCUGAUCACCCUGCAAAGUUGGCAGAUACAGAGCGUAAUGCUCCGUCACUAAUAAAUGGGGCGUUGAGAAGAGAGGUACAAGUACAACGCCCCAAUCAAGGUGUUGAUGCUAGUAGCAUCAUCACCCAAGCAGCAGAUACACUCGUGGCGUUAUCAGCCCACGGUGAGAAAGGCUGGUAGAACCGUAGAAGAGUUAUGGUUCAUUUGUUACUCAGGUGUUUGUCGCUCCACUGUAAAUAAGUGGAGGAAUCCAUCUUUUCCUCCCUUUGGCAGCGCAAAUUUCACCUUGUUAACUUCGAUGGUUAUUCUGCAGUGGUUAAGUACUGUUGCAGUGUUGCUUCUAUACUAACCUGGCUGGUUACUCAACAGAGAUUGUACAUUUUGUACAGUUGGUCAUGCUUUUUCACAUGUGUAUAUACAUUGACUGGCAUAUUUCAUAGUAGUACAUAAACCUGAAAGUUGCUGAAUGUUCAGAGCCCAAGCCCAAGCUUCAGUUUGUCAGGUACAACCUUUUUUGGCUGCCGCCGGCUUCUGUGACUGCUUUUUUGCUGCAAAGAGUCAUUGAGCAAGAAGAUUAAUCUGGGCCGGACGGGGAGAAUCCGGUUCGAUUCGAUGCCCACAAGUGCAGGGACCAGAAAGGCGUCGACAGGUUUGUUUUCUACUUGUGUGUUACUGCAGCUAGACAAUUCUGAGUUCCAACUUGGGGGCCUCUCUGAAAAGGAUCCCAAGUCUUGACGGCACAACAUUAAUCACAGUCCUCCAAAUGUGGCUGUCCAUUCAUUGGAGACCUCAGCCUAAGUAAAAUAUCCAUUGCAAGUAGGAGUACGUAAAUUAGUCAAGGAUGAUUCCGGGGAUUGGGAAAAAUACAUCUUUGGUGCGGUUGUUCAGCUCACAUGUAGGAUAAGACGCAGGGGGACAAAUUGGACUCUAGAAAAAAAAAAGGACAGGAACUGAAUUUUUGCGGAACGUAGUAGGGUCUAUUUGGUUCCUUUGUCUUAUAAGCUACAGCUAAAUAUUAAAUUUGAAAAAUUUAGGAUUUUUAUCCAAUUUUAGAACUAAAUUUUAGAGUUUUUACGUUGUAGUAUAUUUUCGAGCCUAUGCUUUUAAACAGCAAAUACCACAUAUUAGUGGUAUCUGAUCUUUCGAUUAAUUGUGAUUAAUCGUCUUGAUCGAUCCCCUGACUCUGAUCAAGGACAUUCAUUUGAUCAACUCGAUCAGAAAUUUGAUCGUCCGAUUAAUCGUCGAUCAGACGCGAUUAAUCGUCCGAUCAAAGCACCUAUCGAUCACUUUUAGAACAAGUCUUAAGGUUUAGCACAUGUGAAUAUGUGUUACUACUGCUGGUUGCUUUACACUAUGAUUGCUUUAUACUAUGCGCUAUAUAGAAUAUAUGUUCCGGUAUACAUAGUACCGAUCAGGUCGAUUAAUCGAGACUGAUCGAUGAUUAAUUGUCUUAAUCGGUCAGAUAACAUUGCAUAUAUAAAAAAGUUGUCUGUAAA